rnacentral:rRNA from 1 species
UUAAUUUAUAUUUAAAAUUAAUUAAUUAAAAUAAUAAUAAUAAAUUUAAUUUUUAGUAAUAUAAAUAAAAUAAUUAUAUUAAUUAUAAUAAUAUGUAUUGUAAAAAAAAAUAUAUUAUAAAUAAAGAUAAAUUAAUUUUUUUUACCUUUUGUAUCAGGGUUAAUUAAAAAUUUUUAAUUAAAAUUAAAUUUUUCGAAAUUAAUUGAAUUAAAAUUUAAUUUUAAUUAAUAUAAUAUAAUUAUUAAAAAUUAAAUUUUAGAAAUUAUAUGUUAUUCAUAAUUAAUAAUAUCUAAUUUUUUAAUAAAUGAAUUUAAUUCAUAAAUUUAUAAAAAUAAUUUAUAUAUAUAUAUAUAUAUAAAUUAAUUUAAUAAAUUUUAAAGAUUUAUGGGAUAAACUUUAAAUCUAAUUUUAUAAAAUUUUAUUUAAAAAAUUUAACUUUAAAAAUAUAAUUUAAAAUUUUAAUUUUUUAAAAAUUUAUAAUAAUUUAUAAAUAAAAUUAUAAUAAAAAUUUAAUAAUUUAAUUUUUAAAUAUAAUAUUAAAAUAUAAUUUAAAAUUAAUAAAAUUUAAAAAUAAUGAUUAAAUUAGUAAAAUUAAAUUUAUAAAUUAUUUUAUUAUUUAUAAUUUAAAUUAAUGAAUUCAGCAAAAAUUAAUAUUUACCUGUUUAUUAAAAACAUGUCUUUAAAUAUAUUAAUUUAAAGUCUAAUCUGCUCAAUGAUUAUUUAAAUAGCUGCAAUAUUUUUUGAUUGUACAAAGGUAGCAUAAUCAUUUGCCUUUUAAUUAAAGGAUAGAAUGAAAGAUUGAAUAAAAUAUUAACUAUAUUAAUUUAAUUAAAAUUUAAAUUUUAUUUUUAAGUAAAAAAUCUUAAAUUAUAUUAUUAGACGAUAAGACCCUAUAGAACUUUAUAUUAGUAUAUUUUUUUAAAAAUAAUUUUUAAUUUUAAAAAUAAAUUAAUAUUAUAUUGGGGGUAUAAAAAAAUUAAAAUAAUUUUUUUAUAAAUUUAAACAUUUUUUAAUGAAUUAAAUAUAAAAGAGUGUUUUAUAUAAAUUAUUAAAAUAAGUUACCUUAGGGAUAACAGCAUAAUUUUUUUAAAUAGUUCAUAUUGAUAAAAAAGAUUAUGACCUCGAUGUUGAAUUAAGAUAAAUAUUAAAUGAAGAAAUUUUUUUAUUAAGUCUGUUCGACUUUUAAAAUCUUACAUGAUUUGAGUUAAAAUCGGUGUAAACCAGAUUGGUUUCUAUCUAUAAUAAAAUUAUAAAUAUUUGUACGAAAGGACUUUAUUUAUUAAAUAAAUUAAUAUUAAAUUAAAAUUGAAUUAAAUUAAAUUAAAAAUAAAAACUUAUAAAAUUUCAAUAAAAUUUU